rnacentral:rRNA from 1 species
UACGGAGGGUGCGAGCGUUGUCCGGAAUCACUGGGCGUAAAGGGCGCGUAGGUGGCCGAGCAAGGUCGCGGUGAAAGCCCGGGGCUCAACCCCGGGUCGGCCGUGGCAACUACUGGGCUAGAGCACUGUAGGGGCGGGUGGAAUUCCGGGUGUAGCGGUGGAAUGCGUAGAUAUCAGGAAGAACACCAAUGGCGAAAGCAGCUUUCUGGGACGGUACUGACGCUGAGACGCGAAAGCGUGGGGAGCGAACAGG